rnacentral:lncRNA from 1 species
UUGAACCUCGCAAACCCAAACCUUCUGCCUUCCUUGUUCCGCCGUUUUGCGAUAAAUAUCUCACGUACAUCACCCCAUGCCUUAAACUUCUCCUAGAGCCUCACUUCGUUUACCCCAUCUGUGAAAUUAGAGAAAUAAUAGGACGUAAUAUCCUCCUUGUAUCUCCAGUUGAGAUGAUUGGAUGGGUGAAUAUCCCUCGUAUCCUUCUUGUGAAGAUUUCUACUCUCUGAAGUCUUGUUCUUCCUUUUCAUUGCUUCCCUUUUGCUGAUCACCGUUGUCCACUCUUCAGUUUUCACUUCGUUGUUGAGGCCUUUCUUGUCAUUUCGAUGGUGUUCCUUUCGGCUGCAUUCGAAGCUUCUAUUUAGAGAAUCACUGCGACUCGUGCUGUACAUACCUCCAUAUCUCCUGUGUCUAGCUUUGCACCCACGAC